UGUGUUCUGGAAUGUUUGCCAGCUAGAUAAGUCCUCGAGCCGAUACUUAGUACCAGGCAAGUAUGUUGUAUGAUGUGUGCAGGUCCCCAUCGACGGGAAAGCCUAAUUCAUAUCAUGUGCUAGCCACCUUGAACCUUUUCGGUUCAAGGUCCUAUCAGGCAGCGGCAUUUCGGGCACAC
rfam:Oleiphilus sp. HI0009 HI0009_c18, whole genome shotgun sequence.